rnacentral:misc_RNA from 1 species
UUUCCGUAGGUGAACCUGCGGAAGGAUCAUUACCAAAUGAUAAUCUUUCAAAUCGAAAGAUCUUUUCCUUUGUGCUGGCUUUGACCGUAUGUAAUUUUGGGACUUAAACAUGGCAACUUUUUUGUUACCGGUCCCAAAAACAAUUAUAUCAUCCUUAUGAAAAACUUACUGAACAACUAAACAAUGAUUUUAAUAAUCUGUUUAAAACAACUUUCAACAACGGAUCUCUUGGUUCUCGCAUCGAUGAAGUACGCAGC